AAUAAUAUAGUUUAACAAAACUUCAAACUGCAAGUUUGAAAAUCACUAAUAAAA
rnacentral:tRNA from 1 species